UUCUGAUGAUCGAUUCAACCUCUGAUAAAAAAGAUAUACCUUGGUUUAUGGGGGCUGACGCCUGCCCAGUGCUGAAAGGUCAAGAAAGUUGGUGACCUGAUGAUAGGGGAGCCGACGACCGAAGUCUCGAUGAACGGCGGUCGUAACUAUAACAGUCCUGAGGUAGUGAAAUUCCUUGUCGGGUAAGUUUUGAACCGCACGAAAGGCGUAACGAUUUGGA
rnacentral:rRNA from 1 species